rfam:Stegodyphus mimosarum contig51762, whole genome shotgun sequence.
CCCUUCAUGGUGUAGUGGUCAGCACGCUCGACGCGUAACCGAGAGAUGCUUGGUUCGAUUCCCGGCGAAGGCG